UCCGUAUUUAUGGUUAUUGCACUUCAGACUCACAGUGAAGCUGUCGAAUUCCAUUUGGCCAUUUGGUUCACAACCACCGAACCUUUCUCGUGAAUCCGUAAAUCACUUCAUUUUUAAUGCAGUUUUGUGAAAAUUGUGCCAUUCAGUGUGGAUUAAAUUUACACUAGGUAAGUUAAUAUAAUUCUAAUGAAGUAAUCAUUUUAAUUUUUACAUGCUUCUGUUGUUUUUGAUAACUGUACGUAAAUAACAACAACAGUUUUUUCAGACAAGCUGGAAAUACCACCAUUAAUCACUGAAGAUACUCCCGCUGAUUUUGAAGAACUUACGGUGAUUGUUUUUGAAAGUGAGGCGCUUUGCCACAACAUGUUGCAAAGACUUGAAACAAAUACAAAAAAUAUGUGCGAAACAAAAGAAAUUCUAAAGGAAACGAGUGAACAAAUCUCCAAUAUGAAAACGUCAUCAAAUGUGACAAAUCAAAAAGAAAACAGUAAUAGAAGAUAUGCCGCCAAGACCACAGGAACUGCUAUUGUCCCAGAUAGGUGGUAAUGGGAAAAAGAACAAUGUGGAGCG